rnacentral:rRNA from 1 species
UACGAAGGGAGCUAGCGUUGUUCGGAAUUACUGGGCGUAAAGCGUGCGCAGGCGGUGAUGUAAGACCGAUGUGAAAUCCCCGGGCUUAACCUGGGAACUGCAUUGGUGACUGCAUUGCUGGAGUAUGGCAGAGGGGGGUGGAAUUCCACGUGUAGCAGUGAAAUGCGUAGAGAUGUGGAGGAACACCGAUGGCGAAGGCAGCCCCCUGGGCCAAUACUGACGCUCAUGCACGAAAGCGUGGGGAGCAAACAGG